rnacentral:rRNA from 1 species
CUNNCNAGAUAGCCANGCAUGUCUAGUACAUGCCGUAUUAAGGCGAAACCGCGAAUGGCUCAUUAAAUCAGUUAUGGUUCCUUGGAUCGUACUUUACUACUUGGAUAACUGUGGCAAUUCUAGAGCUAAUACAUGCAGCAGAGCUCCGACCUUCGGGGACGAGCGCUUUUAUUAGACCAAAACCAAUCGGGCCUCGUGUCCGUGAAACGUGGUGACUCUGUGUAACUUUGGGCUGAUCGCACGGGCUCGUCCCGGCGACGUAUCUUUCAAGUGUCUGCCUUAUCAACUGUCGAUGGUAGGUUACGCGCCUACCAUGGUCGUAACGGGUGACGGGGAAUCAGGGUUCGAUUCCGGAGAGGGAGCCUGAGAAACGGCUACCACAUCCAAGGAAGGCAGCAGGCGCGCAAAUUACCCACUCCCGGAACGGGGAGGUAGUGACGAAAAAUAACAAUACGGGACUCUUUUGAGACCCCGUAAUUGGAAUGAGUACACUCCAAAUCCUUUAACGAUUAUCCAUUGGAGGGCAAGUCCAGUGCCAGCAGCCGCGGUAAUUCUGGCUCCAAUAGCGUAUAUUAAAGUUGUUGCGGUUAAAAAGCUCGUAGUUGGAUCUCAGUUCCAGACGGGCGGUCCGCCUACCGGCGGCCACUGCCCGUUCUGAACAGGCCAGCCGGUUUCCCCUGAUGAUCUUCACCGGUUGUCUCGGGUGACCGGCAAGUUUACUUUGAAAAAAUUAGAGUGCUCAAAGCAGGCGCGACGCCUGGAUAAUGGUGCAUGGAAUAAUGGAAUAGGACCUCGGUUCUAUUUUGUUGGUUUUCGGAACGCGAGGUAAUGAUUAAGAGGGACAGACGGGGGCAUUCGUAUUGCGACGCUAGAGGUGAAAUUCUUGGACCGUCGCAAGACGAACUAUGCAGANUUUUUUUUNNNNGNAAAAAA